rnacentral:rRNA from 1 species
GACGAACGCUGGCGGCGUGCUUAACACAUGCAAGUCGAACGGAGUGGCGAACGGGUGAGUAACACGUGGGUGACCUGCCCUGCACUUCGGGAUAAGCCCGGGAAACUGGGGCUAAUAACGGAGAGUGGGGGAUGGGGCCGCGGCCUAUCAGCUUGUUGGUGGGGUAAUGGCCUACCAAGGCGGCGACGGGUAGCCGGCCUGGGCGGGUGGACGGCCACAUUGGGACUGAGGCACGGCCCAGACGCCUACGGGAGGCAGCAGUGGGGAAUAUUGCACAAUGGGCGCAAGCCUGAUGCAGCGACGCCGCGUGGGGGAUGACGGCCUUCGGGUUGUAAACUCCUUUCACCAUCGACGCGGUAGAUGGAGAAGAAGCACCGGCUAACUACGUGCCAGCAGCCGCGGUAAUUC